CUAGGAGCAAGGUCGCUCCGCCUCGGUGGUGGUCACGUCCGGCCAGCUGUGGCCGCAUCCCUGUCGGCUAGCUCGGGUCUGGCCCACGGUGACUGUUACCCCUGGGGAAUGGGGCAGCUCUGAUCCAUCCAACGCUGCUGCACUGGAGACGGGGUCAGAAAUCAGGAGUGAGGACUUGUUGAAAGAAAUAGGAAGGAAUCAGAUCACAUAAAUGCUGGCCCCAAAUGUUUGCAUCAUAAACCCAUUGCCUAAUUUUACAGAUGAGAAAAUAAAGCUCUCUAAAUAACCACAAAGCUCCUACUCCUACUUCAGACAUAUCAGAAAAAUGAGAUAAUAAUGCACAAACCAAGUUUCAAAAGCUCUAUGGUAGGUCUGGAGAGAUGGAGAUCAGUUCUUGUCUGUCAGCCCCUGUUCUUCCAUUCUUAUAAGGUUACAGAAUCUCUAGCAAGGGACAUGACAGCUCAGGGAAAAAGCACACAUUUCCCAGCAUUCUUUAAGGCAAAGUGUGUCCAUGUGACCAACUUCUGGCAAACAGGCUGUAAGAAAAUGUGAUGCUGUGUCCUUAAAGACAAGGGACAUGCCCUCCCUGCCCCCAAACCUUCAUCGACCAGGUGGAAUGUUGACAAGGGAGAGCAUCAGAGCAUCUUGGACCAUGUGAAUAAGGGUGUGGCUGCUGGGGAUGACAGAGCAACUAAAAGGAGGAGGCACAGAGCUGCUAUAUCAGCCCCAGAUGGCUUACUUUCUGAUGAUACAUGAGAGAGAAAUAAACUUUCAUCAAAUUUAAACCACAUUUAUUUGGGUUCUUCAAAUUAAUUUCCAAGCCCAUAGCCUAACUAAUGCCCCUAGAAAUUAGGAAGGAUGGAAAAAUCACACAACACAAGAGUUAAAAAGUUAA